rnacentral:rRNA from 1 species
GACGAACACUGGCGGCGUGCUUAACACAUGCAAGUCGAACGGAAAGGCCCUGCUUUUGUGGGGUGCUCGAGUGGCGAACGGGUGAGUAACACGUGAGUAACCUGCCCUUGACUUUGGGAUAACUUCAGGAAACUGGAGCUAAUACCGGAUAGGAGCUCCUGCUGCAUGGUGGGGGUUGGAAAGUUUCGGCGGUUGGGGAUGGACUCGCAGCUUAUCAGCUUGUUGGUUGGGUAGUGUCUUACCAAGGCUUUGACGGGUAGCCGGCCUGAGAGGGUGACCGGACACAUUGGGACUGAAAUACGGCACAGACUCCUAUGGGAGGCAGCAGUGGGGAAGAUUGCACAAGGGGAGGAAGCAUGAUGUAGCAACGCCACGAGCGGGAAGAGAGCAUUCGGGUUGUAAACCGCUUUCGCCUGUGACGAAGCGUGAGUGACGGUAAUGGGUAAAGAAGCACCGGCUAACUACGUG